CAUCCCAACUCCUAUGAGAUUUAUUUAAUUUCCUGGUCAUUAUACACCACUUUAUGUAUCCAAAUCAAGCUUCUUACAAAUUGAUUCAUCCUGGUUUGAUUGUAACGACGAAGAAGCUGUCCUAUUCCCAAACUGGAAAACUGGAAUCACCUGAUUUGAAAGUGGGAUAACUUAUUCAUCCCAACUCCUAUGAGAUUUAUUCAACUUGCUGGUGAUUCUCCACCACUUUAUGUAUCCAAAUCAAGCUUCCUACAAAGUGACUCAUCCUGCUUUGAUUGGAACGACGAAGAAGAUGUCCUAUUCCCAAACUGGAAAACUCUUCUUUCAAAGUGAUUCAUCCUGCUUUGAUUGGAAUGACAAAGAAGCUAUCCUAUUCCCAAACUGGGAAACUGGAAUCACCUGAUUUGAAAGUGAGAUAACUUCUUCAUCCCAACUCCUAUGAGAUUUAUUCAACUUCCUGGUCAUUCUCCACCAUUUUAUGUAUCCAAAUCAAGCUUCUUCCAAAGUGAUUCAUCCCGCUUUGAUUGGAACAACGAAGAAGUUGUCCUAUUCCCAAACUGGGAAACUGGAAUCAUCUGAUUUGAAAGUGGAAUAACUUCUUCAUCCCAAAUCCUAUGAGAUUUAUUCAACUUCUUGGUCAUUCUCCACCACUUUAUGUCUCCAAAUCAAGCUUCUUACAUAGUGAUUCAUCCUGCUUUGAUUGGAACGACGAAGAAGCUAUCCUAUUCCAAAACUGGGAAACUAAAAUCACCUGAUUUGAAAGUGGGAUAGCUUCUUCAUCCCAACUCCUAUGAGAUUUAUUCAACUUCCUGGUCAUUCUCCACCACUUAAUGUAUCCAAAUCAAGCUUCUUACAAAGUGAUUCAUCCUGGUUUGAUUGGAAAGACGAAGAAGCUGUCCUAUUCCCAAACUGGGAAACUGGAAUCACCUGAUUUGAAAGUGGGAUAACUUCUUCAUCCCAACUCCUAUGAGAUUUAUUCAACUUGCUGGUGAUUCUCCAACACUUAUAUAUCCAAAUCAAGGUUCUUUCAAAGUGAUUCAUCCUGCUUUGAUAGGAAUGACAAAGAAGCUAUCAUAUUCCCAAACUGGGAAACUGGAAUCACCUGAAGUGAGAUAACUUCUUCAUCCCAACUCCUAUGAGAUUUAUUCAACUUCCUGGUGAUUCUUCACCACUUUAUGUAUCCAAAUCAAGCUUCUUACAAAGUGAUUCAUCCUACUUUGAUUGAAACGACGAAGAAGUUGUCCUAUUCCCAAACUGGGAAACUGGAAUCACCUAAUUUGAAAGUGGGAUACCUUCUUCAUCCCAACUCCUAUGAGAUUUAUUCAACUUCCUAGUCAUUCCCCACCACUUAAUGUAUCCAAAUCAAGCUUCUUACAAAGUUAUUCAUCCUGGUUUGAUUGGAACGACGAAGAAGAUGUUCUAUUCCCAAACUGGGAAACUGGAAUCACAUGAUUUAAAAGUGGAAUAACUUCUUCAUCCCAACUCCUAUGAAAUUUAUUCAACUUCCUGGUCAUUCUCCACCACUUUAUUUAUCAAAAUCAUGCUUCUUACAAAGUGUUUCAUCCUUCUUUGAUUGUAACGACGAAGAAGCUGUCCUAUUCCCAAACUGGGAAACUGGAAUCACCUGAUUUGAAAGUGAGAUAACUUCUUCAUCCCAAAUCCUAUGAGAUUUAUUCAACUUCCUCGUGAUUCUCCACCACUUUAUGUAUCCAAAUCAAGCUUCUUACAAAGUGAUUCAUCCUGCUUUGAUUGAAACGACGAAGAAGUUGUCCUAUUCCCAAACUGGGAAACUGGAAUCACCUAAUUUGAAAGUGGGAUACCUUCUUCAUCCCAACUCCUAUGAGAUUUAUUCAACUUCCUAGUCAUUCCCCACCACUUAAUGUAUCCAAAUCAAGCUUCUUACAAAGUAAUUCAUCCUGGUUUGAUUGGAACGACGAAGAAGAUGUUCUAUUCCCAAACUGGGAAACUGGAAUCACAUGAUUUAAAAGUGGAAUAACUUCUUCAUCCCAACUCCUAUGAAAUUUAUUCAACUUCCUGGUCAUUCUCCACCACUUUAUUUAUCAAAAUCAUGCUUCUUACAAAGUGUUUCAUCCUUCUUUGAUUGUAACGACGAAGAAGCUGUCCUAUUCCCAAACUGGGAAACUGGAAUCACCUGAUUUGAAAGUGAGAUAACUUCUUCAUCCCAAAUCCUAUGAGAUUUAUUCAACUUCCUCGUGAUUCUCCACCACUUUAUGUAUCCAAAUCAAGCUUCUUACAAAGUGAUUCAUCCUGCUUUGAUUGGAACGACAAAGAAGAUGAUCUAUUCCCAAACUGGGAAACUAGAAUCACCUGAUUUUAAAGUGGAAUAACUUCUUCAUCUCAACUCCUAUGAGAUUUAUUCAACUUCCUGGUGAUUCUCCAACACUUUAUGUAUCCAAACGAAGCUUCUUACAAAGUGAUUCAUCUUGAAUUGAUUGGAACGACGAAGAUGCUGUCCUAUUCCCAAACUGGGAAACUGGAAUCACAUUAUUUGAAAGUGGGAUAACUUCUUCAUCCCAACUCCAAUGAGAUUUAUUCAACUUCCUAGUCAUUCCCCACCACUUAAUGUAUCCAAAUCAAGCUUCUUACAAAGUAAUUCAUCCUGGUUUGAUUGGAACGACGAAGAAGAUGUUCUAUUCCCAAACUGGGAAACUGGAAUCACAUGAUUUAAAAGUGGAAUAACUUCUUCAUCUAAACUUCUAUGAGAUUUAUUCAACUUUCUGGUGAUUCUCCAACACUUUAUGUAUCCAAAUCAGGUUUCUUACAAAGUGAUUCAUCCUGAUUUGAUUGGAACGACGAAGAAGCUGUCCUAUUCCCAAACUGGGAAACUGGAAUCACCUGAUUUGAAAGUGAGAUAACUUCUUCAUCCCAACUCCUAUUAGAUUUAUUCAUCUUACUGGUUAUUCUCCACCACUUUAUGUAUCCAAAUCAAGCGUCCUACAAAGUGACUCAUCCUGCUUUGAUUGGAACGACGAAGAAGAUGUCUUAUUCCCAAACUGGAAAACUCGAAUCACCUGAUUUGAAAGUGGGAUAACUUCUUCAUUCCAACUCCUAUGAGAUUUAUUCAACUUCUUGGUGAUUCUACACCAUUUUAUGUAUCCAAAUCAAGCUUCUUCCAAAGUGAUUCAUCCCGCUUUGAUUGGAACGACGAAGAAGUUGUCCUAUUCCCAAGCUGGGAAACUGGAAUCAUCUGAUUUAAAAGUGGAAUAACUUCUUCAUCCCAACUCCUAUAAGAUUUAUUCAACUUCCUGUUCAUUCUUCACCACUUUAUGUAUCCAAAUCAAGCUUCUUACAAAGUGAUUCAUCCUGCUUUGAUUGGAACGACGAAGAAGUUGUCCUAUUCCCAAACUGGGAAACUGGAAUCACCUGAUUUGAAAGUGGGAUAACUUAUUCAUCCCAACUCCUAUGAGAUUUAUUCAACUUGCUGGUGUUUCUCCACCACUUAAUGUAUCCAAAUCAAGCUUCUUACAAAGUGACUCACCCUCCUUUGAUUGGAAUGACAAAGAAGAUGUCCUAUUCCCAAACUGGGAAACUGGAAUCACCUGAUUUGAAAGUGGGAUAACUUCUUCAUCCCAACUCCUAUGAGAUUUAUUCAACUUCCUGUUCAUUCUCCACCACUUUAUGUCUCCAAAUCAAGCUUCUUACAAAGUGAUUCAUCCUGCUUUGAUAGGAACGACGAAGAAGCUAUCCUAUUCCAAAACUGGGAAACUAAAAUCACCUGAUUCGAAAUUGGGAUAGCUUCUUCAUCCCAACUCCUAUGAGAUUUAUUCAACUUCCUGGUCAUUCUCCACCACUUAAUGUAUCCAAAUCAAGCUUCUUACAAAGUGAUUCAUCCUGGUUUGAUUGGAACGACGAAGAAGAUGUUCUAUUCCCAAAGUGGGAAACUGGAAUCACCUGAUUUAAAAGUGGAAUAACUUUUUCAUCCCAACUCCUAUGGGAUUUAUUCAACUUCCUGGUCAUUCUUCACCACUUUAUGUAUCCAAAUCAAGUUCUUACAAAGUGAUUCAUCCUGCUUUGAUUGGAACAACGAAGAAGUUGUCCUAUUCCCAAC
rnacentral:lncRNA from 1 species